AGAAUAGCACAUGUCUAACGAAAUCAAAAUGAAUAAGCGUGUCGCACGCUGGAUAUCACGAGCAAGUCUGGGGAAAGACGCGCAUCUCGCGCUGUCAAGCUCAUCCGGUUACAUUACCGAUGGUGUUGGGUUCGAGGGCUCACAAAUUUGGAAGAGGGAUCGUGGAGUUGGACCUGCAUCAUCAGAAGAGAGCAAUGCCAGACUUUCUGUGGUUAAUCCUUCUUCACGUUUCUUCAUUAUGUCACACUGCAUUCUCUUAAACCAAUAUGUUAUAAUUUUGACUACAGGCAAGUGAAGUGACAUACUUGUGGUCAAACAUUGUCAUUUGCAGAAUUUGGAUCCCACAACCUCAGGAUUUGAAGUGUGAGCUCCAAAAUCUUAACCACUACACCACUUUGCCUGUCAAUAUUAGCCCUUCAUAAAAAUGUAAAUAUUGUAUAUAGAAAAGUACUUAGUUAACAUAGUUCUUCUGAUACGUUUAAUUAACCAGUGGCACUGUAACUGACACCCUUUCUCUCACGAAAUUUCCCAGAAGAAGAUGGGUAUCACAGCUAGUAUUUUGUAUAAAGCAAAUCUGAUGAGUCAUGGUGUCAAAAUAAUAGCAACAGUAUAUUUUAAGAAAUAUGAAGACAGUUUAAAAAGUAAUAUUUUCCUUAUAUACUUUCUAAGUAGUUCAACAGAAAACUAUUCACUGUUCAGAGCCAGCUUCAGUACUUCAGGACAAAAUUAAUACAUAGUCAUGUGAUGGCAUUCAGCAAAUUAUUGCUUUUAAUUAAACUGUGCCAUUUUAGUAAUUUGCAUUUAAAUUAUAAUUGCAGAAUGCAAAUCAGCUAGAACUCUUUUUUAGUUUCAGGCAAGCAUUAAAGUUUGCAAAGUCAGUCUGCCACCCUUUACCAUUUAAACAGAAGGCUUUUAUUCUUUAUCCAAUUCAUUCUUUCAUGCUGAAUCAUUACCAAUAAAUCAGAGGUUUUCCCCAACAUGCACAGCAUGCAGGAUAGACCUACAUAUUGAAGAAGAUACCCUCAAAUUUCAGACAAGAAAGAUACCAAUCACAACUGAAAUUAAUAAAUUAAUUGUUGUGUUGAUCGUUUGUCAAAUCAUCUCAUUUUCCGUCUCUUGCAACAUAAAAGUAGCAUUAAAUGAAACCAGUAUUCAGUUGCUGAGUGACAUAUUAAAUAAUGGUAACUUCAACAUUUGUCAUUAAUCCUCUACUGGGUGAAGAAAUAUAAAAAUAACAUUAGCACCUCAAUUAAGAUGCUGGCAAAUGUUUGAAUUAUUAUAAUGACAAGGGUUAGGGUAAAGAAAGCACAACUCAUUUUUAUGAUUUCUCUGUUAUGAGGAAUGCAAAACCUAAAAAGGGCCUAUCAGUAUCAGGCAGUUUCAAAAAUGGGUGGCUCUAGUAUAGAACUUUAAACUUUUAAAAAAAAAGAAUUCAAAGAAAAGUGAACAAUUGGUAUCUGAAGGAGCAAGGAAAAGUGUGAUAGUAAGAGAAAGUCAAGUAACCUACUCUACUGGUCUCUGUCACAUAUCUUCUCAUGUUGAUCAGUUGUUGGGAUUGGGGCAGGCUGGACAUGAAGACACCUAACAGCAGGACGAACAGUUUUCCUUUCCCAGGGCAAAGACACCUUUUCUAUUCAAUUCUAUCACAUCAGCUUUUACAUAUUAAACAAGUUAAUUCAAAUAUGGGACAAUUCAAGGACAGUUUCACCUUAAUAAAAUUCAUUACUGCUGGAUGUGCUUCUUUUGUGUUAUUGUUUGUGCAUAUAUAGAGAGAGUGUGAGUACAGUGAGAUGUAUUUUUUUACUAAUAUUUUUUUCUUCAUCACUUA